AUACGGAGGGUGCAAGCGUUACUCGGAAUCACUGGGCGUAAAGGACGCGUAGGCGGGUUGUCAAGUCAGAUGUGAAAUCCUACAGCUUAACUGUAGAACUGCAUUUGAAACUGGCAACCUAGAGUAUGGGAGGGGGAGAUGGAAUUAGUGGUGUAGGGGUAAAAUCCGUAGAUAUCACUAGGAAUACCGAAAGCGAAGGCGAUCUCCUGGAACAUAACUGACGCUAAGGCGUGAAAGCGUGGGGAGCAAACGGGAUUAGAAACCCCGGUAGUCC
rnacentral:rRNA from 1 species